rnacentral:rRNA from 1 species
UACGGAGGGAGCUAGCGUUGUUCGGAAUUACUGGGCGUAAAGCGCGCGUAGGCGGCUUUGUAAGUUAGAGGUGAAAGCCUGGAGCUCAACUCCAGAACUGCCUUUAAGACUGCAUCGCUAGAAUCGUGGAGAGGUGAGUGGAAUUCCGAGUGUAGAGGUGAAAUUCGUAGAUAUUCGGAAGAACACCAGUGGCGAAGGCGACUCACUGGACACGUAUUGACGCUGAGGUGCGAAAGCGUGGGGAGCAAACAGG